UAAAUUGUUACAAAGGAACUAUUGCUUGGUAGUAAUGAAAACCACAACACUUUACAGCCAGUUGAAUGUUCAAAGACCACAUUACUGUUCUACCAGUGGGGAGAGUAGCUUUGAAAAAGAUGCCAGGGAGACUCCCCUUACCUUGUGAUUUUUUUUUAUUGCAGCUGUGCCUAGAAUGGGUAUGUCAUACAUGUCUGUUUGUCUUCAAACUGGUAUAAAUGAACCACAAUCCAACGUGGACAUUGUUUCUCUUUAGGCAAGCACAUACUGGAGGAAAACCUGGACACUUUUUCUCAGUUAGUGAAUGUGGUAACUGAAUGAGGCCAACUACCAAAUCCAGAUUUGGACCAUUUUACUGCAGAAUAUAAAUGACUGAGAGACUGAGAUCAUCAAAUCCAACCCUCUCCCGCUGCAGGCACAUAUAUGAUGGACUGCAAGUCUAAACGGUGAAGAGAACAUCUUUUGCCAUGAGUCCCACAGCUACACUGUUAUAUACAGACAGACAGGAAAAGGUGUCUGCCCUGGGGAGAAAAAGGUUGCCAACUGGUGGAAGAUGGCUCUUUGAAAGGGAUAGCAUCUUCUUCAUUUGACAAGGCAUGAUGAUCCUGCCCCUUCUUCUCUAGCCUUCAUAUCAUAGCAUACAUACCAUCCUUGUAAUUUAAAUUGCACGUAUGUACACACCCCCUGCCUACUGCAUCAGUUCUUAGAGAUAAAAUCACUUUGUUGUUUGCUGAAUUCAACCAC